GCCCGACGUCCACAGGUGGGGGACGUUCUGCUGCCUGCAACAUCCUCCAGCAUGACCGGUUUGGCAGUGGGUCAGUAAUGGUGUGGGGUUGCAUUUCUUUGGGGGGUCGCACUGCCUCCAUGUGCUCGCCAGAGGUAGCCUGACUGCCAUUAGGUACCAAGAUGAGAUCCUCCGAUCCCUUGUGAGACCAUAUGCUGAUGCGGUUGGCCCUGGGUUCCUCCUAAUGCAAGACAAUGCUAGACCUCAUGUGGCUGGAGUGUGUCAGUAGUUCCUGCAAGACGAAGGCAUUGAUGCUAUGGACUGGCUUGUCCGUUCCUCAGACCUGAAUCCAAUUGAGCACAUCUGGGACAUCAUGUCUCGC
rnacentral:lncRNA from 1 species